UGAAUGCAGAAUGUUAUCCAGAAGCCACGUGCCGUUAAAAUGUAGAUUGCUGCUACAAACUGCAGUAGCAGUAAAAUCGUAAAAGCGAAAUGUUGUCUAAUAAAAACUUGCUUCUUCUCCUGGUAGCUGUCCUUGGUUCCUCAUGGAUUUUCAAUGGCAAUUCCAAUGGGUAGCUUAUGCUUACUGGUCAUCAUCCAAAAGAAUUUCAAGUCGAAGUACCAUUAACAAUUCAAUGCCCUGAUAAGAACCAGGUGAUUUAUAAAAUAGAACUAGAGUUUGAAGAAUUCACGCCGCUGACUGUUGGCAUCUGGAUCAGAGAAACAUAUUACUGGUUACCUAUCGCACCUUAUUACAUAAUUGAAAUAAAAAACGGCACGGAUCUAGCGACUUAUCACAUUCCCAAUGUAUUUUACAGAGGAGGACCAGUUGUUAUUCGUGAUUAAGCGUAAAUAAGAGUAACUAUGUAAGCAUAAUAAACAAAAAUGUUAUGAAAA